rnacentral:rRNA from 1 species
CCUACGGGUGGCAGCAGUGGGGAAUAUUGCACAAGGGGCGAAAGCCUGAUGCAGCGACGCCGCGUGAGUGAAGAAGAAUUUCGGGAGGUAAAGCUCUAUCAGCAGGGAAGAAAAUGACGGUACCUGACUAAGAAGCCCCGGCUAACGACGGGCCAGCAGCCGCGGUAAUACGUAGGGGGCAAGCGUUAUCCGGAUUUACUGGGUGUAAAGGGAGCGUAGACGGCGAAGCAAGUCUGAAGUGAAAACCCAGGGCUCAACCCUGGGACUGCUUUUGAAACUGUUUUGCUAGAGUGUCGGAGAGGUCAGUGGCAUUCCUACUGUCGCGGUGAACUGCGUAGAUCUUAGGAGGAACACCAGUGGCGACGGCGGCUUACUGGACGAUACCUGCCGUUGCGGCUCGAAAGCGUGGGGAGCAAACAGGAUUAGAUACCCGAGUAGUC